rnacentral:rRNA from 1 species
GACAGAGGGGGCAAGCGUUGCUCGGAAUUACUGGGCGUAAAGGGCGCGUAGGCGGGAUGGCAAGUCGGUCGUGAAAUCCCUCGGCUCAACUGAGGAUCGUCGAUCGAUACUGCCGUUCUUGAGGAUUGCAGAGGAGACUGGAAUUCCCGGUGUAGCGGUGAAAUGUGUAGAGAUCGGGAGGAACACCGGUGGCGAAGGCGGGUCUCUGGGCAUUCCCUGACGCUGAGGCGCGAAAGCGUGGGGAGCAAACGGG